rnacentral:tRNA from 1 species
CUUCCCGUAGCUCAACUGGAUAGAGCGACAGCCUUCUAAGCUGUAGGUUGGAGGUUCAAGUCCUCCCGGGGAGGCCA